rnacentral:rRNA from 1 species
CCUACGGGUGGCAGCAGUGGGGAAUAUUGCACAAUGGAGGGAACUCUGAUGCAGCGACGCCGCGUGAGGGAAGAAGUAAUUCGUUAUGGAAAGCUCUAUUAGCAGGGAAGAAAGUGACGGUACCUGAAAAAGAAGCUCCGGCUAAAUACGUGCCAGCAGCCGCGGUAAUACGUAGGGAGCAAGCGUUAUCCGGAUUGACUGGGUGUAAAGGGAGAGUAUGUGGCAGGGUAAGUCCGAAGUGAAAACCCAAGGCUCAACCAUGGGAAUGCUUUUGAAACUGCUCAGCUAGAGUGCAGUAGAGGCAAGUGGAAUUCGUAGUGUAGCGGUGAAAUGCGUAGAUAUUAGGAAGAACACCAGUGGCGAAGGCAGCUUACUGGACUGUAACUGACACUGAGGCUCGAAAGCGUGGGGAGCAAACAGGAUUAGAUACCCUAGUAGUC